rnacentral:lncRNA from 1 species
AAUUCUGCCAAACCAACUUUGGGUCGAGUGCGUCAAACCAACGAAACCGGAGGAGGAAGAGGAGGGGACACGGGGCCACCAAAGGCCACCAGGGGCCACCAGGGGCCACCAGGGGCCACCAGGGGCCACCAAAGGCCAUCAGGGGCCACCACGGGGCACCAGGGGCCACCAAGGGGCCACCAGGGGCCACCAAAGGUCACCACGUGGCCACCAAAGGCCACCAGGGGCCACCACAGGGACAGCCAAGGGAUGGUCACCAUCAGGACGGGCAGGGCCACCACCAAGAUGGUCAGGGCCACCACAAAUAGGGUCAGGAGGUGGCCAGGGCCACCAAGGCCACCAUGGGAAGGACCAGGGCCACCAUCAGGAUGAGCAGGGCCACCAUCAGGAAUGGUCAGGGCCACCAAGGCCACCAUGGGAAGGACCAGGGCCACCACAGGAAGGGUCAGGAGGUGGCCAGGGCCACCAGGGCCACCAAGGCCACCACCAGGAAUGGUCAGGGCCACCACCAGGACAGGCAGGGCCACCACAAAAAGGGUCAGGAGGGGGCCAGGGCCACCAAGGCCACAAUGGGAAGGACCAGGGCCACCACCAGGAAGGACAGGGCCACCACAGGAAGGGCAGGGCCACAAGAGGAAGGGCCAGGAGGUGGCCAGGGCCACCAAGGGGACGAGCAGGGCCACCAAGGCCACCACCAGGAAUGGUCAGGGCCACCACCAGGACAGGCAGGGCCACCACAAAAAGGGUCAGGAGGUGGCCAGGGCCACCAAGACCACCAUGAGAAGGACCAGGGCCACCACAGGAAGAGGCAGGAGGUGGCCAGGGCCACCAAGGCCACAAUGGGAAGGACCAGGGCCACCACCAGGAAGGACAGGGCCACCACAGGAAGGGCAGGGCCACAAGAGGAAGGGCCAGGAGGUGGCCAGGGCCACCAAGGCGACGAGCAGGCCCACCAGGGCCACCACCAGGAUGGCCAGGGCCACCACGCAAGGGCCAAGAGGUGGCCAGGGCCACCAAGGCGACGAGCAGGCCCACCAGGGCCACCACCAGGAUGGCCAGGGCCACCACGCAAGGGCCAAGAGGUGGCCAGGGCCACCAAGGCCAUCAUGGGGAUGAGCAGGGCCACCACCGGGACAGGCAGGGCCACCACAAAUAGGGUCAGGAGGUGGCCAGGGCCACCACCAGGAUGGCCAGGGCCACCACACAAGGGCCAAGAGGUGGCCAGGGCCACCAAGGCCACCAAGGAGAUGAGCAGGGCCACCACCAGGACGGGCAGGGCUACCACAGGAAGGGUCAGGAGGUGGCCAGGGCCACCAAGGCCACCAUGGGAAUGA